UCUCUCUCUCUCUCUACACUCCCCUUUUAUUGCUCUACUCUCUCUCUCUCUCUCUCUAAAAUUGAAGGGUUCUCGUAGUCGUAGGAGCUAAAGCUCGUUCCUCCCCAUUAAUGGAGGUAAUUAAGGAACAACAGCGAAUUUAAUAGCAGUGUCAAGAAGUUCCAAAUUGUUAUGAGCCUAUUAGCCUUAAUUGCCAUGCAGAAGCCUAAGGGCUUAACUUCUACGCCCUGUUGGAUCCAAGUAUUUUGCUCUUGCUGAAAGUGUAAAGCUUCUUCAUCUCUGCAUUCCUUAGAUGCUGCCAAAGAUUGCUACCGUGCAUGGCUUAUUGGAGCGUAUGAGCUAUUAGUCUGAUUUCCUGUUGCUGGUCAAAUGGAAUUUAAUGAUGGUUUCGUAUCAGCAGAGCACCAAGAAUUGCUUCGAUCUGCUACAGAGAGUGCGGAUCCAACAUCUGUUUCUCCUUUGGAGGUUACAUCACCAAAAUCCCCCAGAACACCACGCGGCAAGCAAAGUCCGAAUAGAGGGAGUCCUGUGAAGCAUUAUAAACAUUCACAUUCGGGAAGAGAUGGCGGCCCCAAAAAGGGAGGGUCAGGCGGAAAAGGCACAUGGGGUGGAUUACUUGAUAGUGAAGGUGGUUACUAUUUUGACCACAAUGAUCCUAACUAUGACAGCAGUGAGGAAUAUUACAUGAUCAGUCCUAGCAAAAGAUCUGCUGAAUUUGAAGACUUUAAAAAGAAAACCACCGUAAUUAUCGAAGAAUAUUUCACUACUGACGACAUUACAUCCACCGCCAAUGAGUUAAGGGAUCUUAACUGGCCAUCUUUCCAUUACUACUUUGUGAAGAAACUAGUUUCAAUGGCAAUGGAUAGGCAUGACAAAGAGAAAGAAAUGGCCGCCAUUCUACUCUCAUCUCUUUAUUCUGAAGUUAUUGAACCUACACAAGUAUACAAAGGCUUUUGCAAGCUAAUUGAAUCUUCAGAUGACUUAUGUGUUGAUAUACCAGAAGCAGUUGAUUUCCUUGCCAUAUUUAUAGCUCGAGCUGUGGUUGAUGAAAUACUUCCCCCCGCUUUUCUGAAAAGGCAAAUAGCCAAUUUGCAAAAUGACUCGAAGGGUUUUGAAGUCAUCAAAAGAGCUGAAAGGAAUUACUUAUCAGCCCCACUUCAUGCAGAGAUCAUAUUACGAAGAUGGGGCGGAAGCAAGAAUAUAACGGUUGAAGAAGUGAAGGAUAAGAUAAAUAAUUUAUUGGUCGAGUAUUUAGCUAGUGGCGACAAGAAAGAAGCUUGUAGAUGUAUUAAAGAAUUAAAAGUCCCUUUUUUCCACCAUGAGAUAACUAAGCGAGCAUUGAUAUUAGCCAUGGAGAAGCAAGCUGCUGAAACAGCUAUUUUAGAUCUAUUAAAGUUGGCUUAUGAAGAAGGAGUGAUUAAUUCAAGUCAAAUAUCAAAAGGGUUCAAUAGAUUAAUUGAAACAAUCGACGAUUUAGCCCUAGAUAUCCCAAAAGCGAGGGAUCUCUUAAAAUCUUUGAUAUCUAAGGCUUCUUCAGAAGGUUGGUUAUGUGCUUCCUCACUUAAGUCUCUUCAUUACAGACCUGAGGAACAAAUAGAGGAUGGUACAUUGAAACUUUUCAAAGUCAAGGUCACGUCUAUUAUUCAAGAAUAUUUCUUAACAGGUGACAUUAUUGAUGUGGUGAGCAAUUUGGAAUCAGAAAAUUUUGCUUCUUCCACCCGAUUGAAAGCCAUUUUCGUAAAAAGGCUUAUUACUCUUGCGAUGGACCGAAAGAACAGGGAGAAAGAGAUGGCUUCUGUUUUGCUAUCAUCUUUAUGUUUUCCGUCAGAGGAUAUCUUAUCUGGUUUCAAUCUCUUAGUCGAGUCUGCUGAGGACGCUGCAUUGGAUAAUCCGUCCAUUGUCGAGGACUUGGCAUUAUUUUUAGCAAGAGCAGUGGUGGAUGAAGUACUGGCCCCAUUCCACUUAGAGGAAAUUGGGAAUAACUGUGAAGGGCCUGAUUCAAUCGGUAGUAAAGUGAUUCAAUUAGCGCGCUCAUUACUAAAUGCUCGACUCUCCGGAGAGAGAAUUUUGAGGUGCUGGGGUGGAGGCGGUAGCAAUAAAACAGGAUGGGAAAUUGAUGAUGUUAAAGACAAAAUUGGUAAAUUAUUAGAAGAGUAUGACUCUGGUGGGGACUUAAGAGAAGCUUGUCGAUGCAUAAAAGAGCUUGGUAUGCCAUUUUUCCACCACGAAGUGGUUAAAAAAGCACUAAUAAAUGUCAUGGAAAAGAGGAAUGAGAGAUUGUGGGGGCUGUUGCAGGAGUGUUAUUCUAUGGGCUUAAUAACUCCCAAUCAAAUGGCGAAAGGAUUUGGGAGAGUGGCUGAAUGUAUCGAUGAUUUGGUGCUUGAUGUGCCGGAUGUGGAAAAACAGUUUGGUUUUUAUGUUGAUAGGGCAAAAAAAGAAGGAUGGCUUGAGUCCUCCUUUUCGACUGGAAGAUCUGAACAUGUAGUCGAAAAUGGCUUUCAAUCAUGAGGGGCCUUAGAGGUAGCAAAUGGCAAAUGCUGGAACUGCAUGGAACGGUUGUAUGUGUGAAUGGCGUAGGAUGCAUGAUCCGAAGUACAAGAUCAUAAUAGGAAUUUGUAAGACUGUUUAAGAUCACGAUCCUACCAAAGUUCUAUGACAACAUCCAAUUCCCGAAAUGCAAUUCUUCGAAUUGUGCUAUUAGGUGAAUAUGUCCGAAAGGCGGUUCAUCUUCGCCCUUUUCUCUUAAUCAGAUUCUUAUAUGGCUGACACCUUUUUUAUCCUCAGAACAGAUCAAUCAGGACUAGUUAUUUUUCUGUAAUGUUGCGCCAUUUCAAUUACUUUUCUAUGUAGUUUUGUGUUGCUGUGUAUUGUUUAGUAUUGUAAAAAAUUACCUUCAAAGGCAAUAAAU